rnacentral:rRNA from 1 species
UACGUAGGGGGCAAGCGUUGUCCGGAAUCAUUGGGCGUAAAGAGCGUGUAGGCGGCCUGGUAAGUCCGCUGUGAAAGUCCAGGGCUCAACCCUGGAAUGCCGGUGGAAACUGUCAGGCUCGAGUCCGGAAGAGGCGAGUGGAAUUCCUGGUGUAGCGGUGAAAUGCGCAGAUAUCAGGAGGAACACCAAUGGCGAAGGCAGCUCGCUGGGACGGUACUGACGCUGAGACGCGAAAGCGUGGGGAGUAAACAGG